rnacentral:lncRNA from 1 species
GGGCUAGCUUGUAUGAGGAAUCCUUAAAAGCUGGCGUACGAUUGUCCUUCUACUAUCUCAUAGUGAAAUUUCUUAAAUUAUAUAGAAUAAAUUUCUAUAGCAUUGCGUCAAACUCAUGGCACCCAAUUAUAGGCUUCUUUGCUCACUUCUUUCUCCUCAGGGUCGAACCGACCUCCCGUCUUCUUCGUGCUUGCUUCACAUUAAAGGAGCAUUCUAUGGAGGUUGGGUGGUGGUACGUCUCUCUUUGGAGAGGACGCCAUCUCUUUCGAGGUGCUCCUUCCUCGAUAUAUAGUUGGAAGGAGUGCUUUUUUGUCUCAACCGAGCAAC